rnacentral:rRNA from 1 species
AGGAUGAACGCUGGCGGCGUGCCUAAUACAUGCAAGUCGAGCGGUAAGGCCACUUCGGUGGUACACGAGCGGCGGACGGCUGAGUAACACGUAGGAACGUACCCCAAAGUGAGGGAUAAGCAUUGGAAACAGUGUCUAAUACCGCAUGUGAUCUUCGGAUUAAAGCUCCGGCGCUUUGGGAACGGCCUGCGCAUGAUUAGCUUGUUGGUGAGGUAAUGGCUCACCAAGGCGACGAUCAUUAGCUGGUCUGAGAGGAUGAUCAGCCAGACUGGGACUGAGAACGGCCCAGACUCCUACGGGAGGCAGCAGUAGGGAAUUUUCCACAAUGGGCGAAAGCCUGAUGGAGCAACGCCGCGUGCAGGAUGAAUGUCUUCGGAUUGUAAACUGCUUUUAUCUGUGACGAAUAUGACGGUAGCAGAUGAAUAAGGAUCGGCUAACUCCGUGCCAGCAGCCGC